GCGGCGGGCGGUGCCCUUCACGGCGGCGACAACUCCGAGUGGGCUCGCGGGAGACGGCGCUGGGCUUGGGAGAUGCGGCCGCGAGGGCGCCGCAUCAGUUCGCGGCAGCGAGGCGGGGAUGCGGCGCUGCGCUCCCGGGAUGCAGCAGCGAGGCGUCGAGGCAGCGCUGCGCUCGGGCGCGGCAUCAAGCGGCAGCAGCGAGGCGGGAGGCGCACAUGGAGAUGAAGGAGGAGAAAAUGGAGAGUCGGCCGGGGCGAGGAGUUCGCCGGCAUCGAAGCCACGGACCACGGCGCUGCAAGCUUGCAGGGGGCGGUGGCCAUGGCGGGGAGGCGGCGCUGAGCUCGGGAGCCGCAUGCCUCCUCUGCCGCUCCUUCUUUCUUUCUUCGCCAACUCCUCUCUUGCACGUCGUCGUCUUGCCGCCCACGCAGCAAAGAGGUCGAGGAAGAGGCGGGAGUCGGGUCAAUCGAUCUGUCGCACGAGGAUGCGGCACUCCCUGUUCCAUCUAGAUCAACGGGCGCAGAGAGAGGUGGAAGAAGAGCCACGACCUCCGAGCAGGAGGCUGUCGCCUAGCACGCAUCUGACUGCGGCUAUUUUAUCCAUGAGCUGGAGGAUAAGAGAAGUGCAUCUCUAAAAUUCAGAGUUUUGAACCUAAAGAGACGCAUCUAGACAAUGGUUGCAUGAGUGGUUCCAGUGUCAUAUACGCCAACAUGGUUGGAGAUUUGGGAUCGGAUGCUGCGCCAAGAAUGAGGGACCAAGGUGCUGAACUAACAGCAGGGGCAGAAUGAUUCUUCAGAAAUCGGAGAAAGGUUAUUGGCAUAUCCCCGUCACUGACGAAGAUUUGCUAGAGAGGAAGAGGACCAGAAUGUUUUUCUAUUAUCGGGGACAUACAUAAUACAUCUAUAUCUAUACCUACUAAUAAAGCAAGGAACAUGUGAUCGGGUUUUUGAGGCCGUGCGUUCGAUCACUCCCAUACUUGGACUGCUCCGCAUCUGGCAUAUCGAGCUUAUUCGGCUUGUUCAGAAUAAGGGACACCAUAAAUUAUUGUGGAUGGUAGCUUCCAUGUGCCAAUAAAAGAGAGUAUGCUGGUUAAUUAUAAUUGAAGGAAAUUGUGGGCACGUGCCAAUAAAAGAGAAUAUAUUGGUUUGGCUCUAAUUAAAUGGUGCCGUGUUGAACUAAAGAAUACAGACAUUUGGGGUCAUGAUCCAUUCUUAUAUUGAGCCAGAUGCAUGUAAUUUUUUAUCCCGUUGCAACGCACGGGUAUGUGUGCUAGUAUAGAUAAAUUUGGACUCAUUUAUGACAGAGAUUUCUUGCCAAAAAUAUUAACUCUGUCCAGCAGUGGGCACUGUCAAGGUAAUAACAGGAAUUUGCUGAAUCUAAUUGAAUGAAAGCGGGAUGGUAUCCGAUUGAGAACCUUCUCUAACUAAAUGGGCUUACGAACAAUCAACAUCAAAUAGUUCCAAAUUAACAGAUGUUGUUUUAUGAAAAUACUGAUUUAAGAAUUUGAUGAAUCUAUAAUUCUCUACAUAAUCACUUAGUGAAUUUUAUGAAUCUAUAAUUUUCUACAGAUUUAAGAAUUUGUACAUCCCCUUUUAGUCCAAAUUAAGAAAAAUAUGAUUUCUGCUAUGAUAGUUUCCACAAUAGUUUGGCCCUUGAGACACUUCCACUGUAUGCAUGUGUGUUCCUUUUUUUCCAGAGAUAUGCAUGUCUAUUGAUCAUUGCUGGAAUUGGUUCGACAAACUGUGUAUAUGUGACAAAUUUACUAAUUUUUUUUGACUCGUCUACGGCGGGCUUACGCCGGCCUGAACCAUGUAUUACUCAACUGUAGCGGAGACAUAAAAGAGGAUACAGGGGGUUGUGGGAGAGAUAGAAAGAAAACACCGAAAAGAAAGCAAAAGGAAAAUAUUCAUGAAGGUUGAGUAAUAUACUGAUCCAACCUGAUAAUAUGACUAAUCCAUACAGUGGAUAUGCGCCAAUGCUCAAAUUUGAAAAAUGAAGGAUUCAACUUUUUUUGAAUUAUUAUGGGUGAAGUCGCGAGCAUGCCCAUCAAUCGUAAAAGUAUAUAGUUCGACUUAGUCGUAGGUUCCGUAGUAGUCUUGCCUUGGCUCUGCUGCCUCUCCUCUCUGCUCAUUGCUGGCUGUGGCUGUCCCAUCUCUCCUAGAGCUGCUGCUGCUGCUGCACUUCUUCUGAAGCUCUUCUCAAACCCGUUGCUGCAGUUCUUCUCAAACUCCAACCAGUUGCUGCUUCUCUCUCUCUCUCUCUCUCUCUCUCUCUCAAUUUUUCUGUAAUCAUGUGAACCAUUGUUGUGCGAUUAUAUGUUUUGUGGUACCUUCUGCAAAGUGCUAGCACCUACAUGUUAGCCAAAAUUUUCUUCUAAAUGUCAUGAGGCAUGAGCUACAAAUUUUCUCAAGAAUGAUAAGGCAUGCAUGCAAUUUUAAUAAUACUCUUUUGGCUCUCAUUUAUCUGUUGCCAUAGAGCAUUGUACAAUAUAGAAGAGUCAAU